rnacentral:lncRNA from 1 species
ACAAAACCCUUUUUGCGAUAAAAUUUCUUUUUCUCGAAAAUCGUGCAUCCAAAUCCAAAUCCGUCAAUGCCAUUGGGUCCAAAAUAGUCAAACUGUUGAAAACGAGCUAUUGGAUCACUAUAAACGGAGUCCAAUACGCACCAGAAGCUAUCUCCACUAAUUGGCUUCUCCAGAAACCCAAGUUACUAUUCACUUUAAAGCUGCGUUUGGUUCGGGUAUAAGUAAGAACUUAUUUUAGGGAUAGGUACAAGUUCAGGUAUAAAUAGGAACUAGACCAAUUUUGCGUUUGGAUGAAAAUUGAGUUGAUCCUAGGAAUAAGGUAAAUAGUGUUUGGAUGGUUAGAUUAGAACAAAGAGAAUAAGAGUUAUAAUUUUAAAUUAAAAUUAUUUUAUCUAAUUAAUUAACAUUAAAAUAUUACUUAAAAAUAAUAAAUUAAUAUUAAUAAUUAUAAACAAUAAUAUAAUUAAAUAAUUAUAAUUAAAUAAAAAAUUAUAAAUAAUAAAUUAAUUAGUUAAUCAAAAAUUAAUUAGAUAAUAAAUUAUAAAUAAUAAAUUAUUAAUAAUUAUAAAUUAUAAAUAAUAAAUUAUUAAUAAUUAUAAAUUAUAAAUUAAUUAAUUGAUAAUAAAUAAAUAAAUUAAUCAAUAAUAAAUAAUUAUAAAUAAUAUAUUACUAAUUAAUAAUAAUUUAUUAAAAAUAAAUUAAUUAGAUAAUAUAAUAUAAAUAAUAAAUUAAUAAUCAUUAUAAAUAACAAAUUAUUAAUAAUUAUAAAUAAUAAAUUAUUACUAAUUAAAAUUAAAAAUUAAUUAAUUAUCAAUAAUUAUAAAUAAUAAUCCAUUAAUUAAUAAUAAAUUAAAAUAAUUAAUAAUCAUAAAUUAUUAAUAAUUAUAAAUAUUAAUUUAGUAAUAAUUAUAUAGUACAAAUUAUAUAAUUAAUUUUAAAUUAAUUAAUUAAAUAAUUAUAAAUAAUAAUAAUGAAAUAAAUAAAUUAAUUAUAAUUAAUUAAUAGUAAAUUCAAUAGUUAAUUAAUAGUAUAUUCAAUAGUUAAUUAAUAAUAAAUUAAUUAAUUAAUAAUAAAUUACAUAAUUAAGAAUAAAUUAAUGAUAAAUUAAUUAAUUAUAAAUAAAUUAACUAAUUAAUAAUUAAUUAAUUAUAAAUUAAUAAAUUAAGUAAUUAUUAUUAAUUGUAAAUAAUCAUAAUUUAAUUAAUAAUUGUAAUAAAAAAUUUAUAAAUUAUUUUAUUAUUUAAGUAUUAAAUAAUAAUUUAAAUAUAUUAAUUAAAUUAGUUAAUUAAUUAAUGUCAUAGUUAAAAUUAUUUUUAGACGUUAAUCAAACUUAUUCUCACAUGGGAAUAAGCUUGUUCUAGAGAAAAGGUGGAACAACAGUUCCAACAUUGUACCGACUUAUUCCAGAAACCCGAAAACUACUAUUCUCGAGUAUCAAACACUGUAUUUGGAAACAAAUAGGGGAACAAGGGCUUAUUCCCCCUUUUGUUCUCGAAACAAACGCAAUCUAAAUGAUUAGUAAAGGUCGCGUAACUUCUCCAUCAUAACUCGUUUUCUCCUAAAACUUGACGAGUGCUUAUUUAAUUAAAUUACACACAAAAAUAUCGUCAACAAAGAAUUUAGCUACACAGCCAAAUUCUCAGUCCUCACACUUCAAAACAAUUGCAUGCACAUGGUUUACAAUUUGAAAUCUAAAGGUAUAUGUGGACCGGGUCAGAUUUGGGUAGUUGAUAUAUUGUAGUAGCACCCUAAAAAAAAAAAAAGGGCAGGAAAAAAAUAUAUG